UGUAUUGCCUCAGUAACGGCGAGUGAAGCGGCAAGAGCUCAAAUUUGAAAGCUGGCCCCUUCGGGGUCCGCGUUGUAAUUUGCAGAGGAUGCUUCGGGUGCAGCCCCCGUCUAAGUGCCCUGGAACGGGCCGUCAUAGAGGGUGAGAAUCCCGUCUGGGACGGGGUGUCUGCGUCCGUGUGAAGCUCCUUCGACGAGUCGAGUUGUUUGGGAAUGCAGCUCUAAAUGGGUGGUAAAUUUCAUCUAAAGCUAAAUACUGGCCGGAGACCGAUAGCGCACAAGUAGAGUGAUCGAAAGAUGAAAAGCACUUUGAAAAGAGAGUUAAACAGCACGUGAAAUUGUUGAAAGGGAAGCGUUUGCGACCAGACUCGCCCGCGGGGUUCAGCCGGCAUUCGUGCCGGUGUACUUCCCCGUGGGCGGGCCAGCGUCGGUUUGGGCGGCCGGUCAAAGGCCCUCGGAAUGUAUCACCUCUCGGGGUGUCUUAUAGCCGAGGGUGCAAUGCGGCCUGCCUGGACCGAGGAACGCGCUUCGGCUCGGACGCUGGCGUAAUGGUCGUAAAUGACCCGUCUUGAA
rnacentral:rRNA from 1 species